rnacentral:ribozyme from 1 species
UGCCCAGCAACUCCUAUCCCUACCUCCAAGUGGUACCGGCCGGAAACUAUGAGCAACCUUUGAGAGGAUCGG